CACCGCCCGUCACACCAUGGGAGUUUGUUGCACCAGAAGCAGGUAGCUUAACCGCAAAAGGAGGGCGCUUGCCACGGUGUGGCCGAUGACUGGGGUG
rnacentral:rRNA from 1 species